CUUGAAGAGCACCUCCGAGCCGGGGGACCUAAAGUCUUAGCGCUAUGGACCCGGGCCGAUAGGGUGCGUUGGGAAACCGGCGCGCCUCCCGUUGCGGAAAGGAUGGUGGGGGCAUUGUUU
rnacentral:ncRNA from 2 species